rnacentral:rRNA from 1 species
AGAGUUUGAUCCUGGCUCAGAUUGAACGCUGGCGGCAUGCCUAACACAUGCAAGUCGAACGGAAACGAUGGGAGCUUGCUCCCAGGCGUCGAGUGGCGGACGGGUGAGUAAUACUUAGGUAUCUGCCCAAUAGUGGGGGACAACUCGGGGAAACUCGAGCUAAUACCGCAUACGACCUACGGGUGAAAGUGGAGGAUCUUCGGACUUCACGCUAUUGGAUGAGCCUAAGUCGGAUUAGCUUGUUGGUGAGGUAAAGGCUCACCAAGGCGACGAUCCGUAGCUGGUCUGAGAGGACGAUCAGCCACACUGGGACUGAGACACGGCCCAGACUCCUACGGGAGGCAGCAGUGGGGAAUAUUGGACAAUGGGGGCAACCCUGAUCCAGCAAUGCCGCGUGUGUGAAGAAGGCCUGCGGGUUGUAAAGCACUUUCAGUAGAGAAGAAAAGCUUAUGGUUAAUACCCGUGAGUCUUGACGUUACCUACAGAAGAAGCUCCGGCUAACUCCGUGCCAGCAGCCGCGGUAAUACGGAGGGAGCGAGCGUUAAUCGGAAUUACUGGGCGUAAAGCGCGCGUAGGCGGCUAUGUAAGUCGGAUGUGAAAGCCCAGGGCUCAACCCUGGAAUUGCAUUCGAUACUGCAUGGCUAGAGUAUGGUAGAGGGAAGUGGAAUUUUCCGGUGUAGCGGUGAAAUGCGUANAUAUCNGANGGAACACCAGUGGCGAAGGCGACUUCCUGGGCCAAUACUGACGCUGAGGUGCGAAAGCGUGGGGAGCAAAC